CCCACGUUUCACCCGAGAAGCAAAAUAAAUCCCCACUCCUAGUCCCCCUCAACUAUCUUCUUCUUUUUUUCUUCGACCAUGUAUCUCAGAGAAACAAACACUGAUACUUUAAACCUCUCUACACGUAAAAGAAAUGUUGCAGGUUCGAAUUGAAGAAAUCAAACAAUUUAUUUAUUUUGCUGGAAUGCUUCAUUGACUUAUACCUCGGGUUGUAUGUCCGACAAGAUGGAAAUAAAAUUUUCUACUUGUUCCUUUAAUUUUCUGGUACGAUUCUCCUUUAAUUUCAGUUUUAGUUUGUGAUUCACCCGAAUUCGCUAUUUAUUUACUUAUAAGUUUCUGUAUUAUUAUACUAGAGCGCAUGAUCUGUGUUUGAGAAAAUUACAAACUGAAAUUCGGAUUAUAUUUUGUGGUAAAUCAAUCCAGUUCAUUAUAUAGAACAAGGACAAAGAAUUCUGAUUGUGUUAAUCCAUGGUCGGUGCUUCUACAUUUCAAUUUCAUUGGAGGUUUAAAUUUUUUCCUUUCUAUUUUUCAUGCUGAUGGAGUAAAGAUAAGUAGAUUGUAUGAACUUAGAAACGUAUGUAUAUACCGUUGUUCAAAAUAUUUCAAUCAAUUAUGAGAUCAAAUAUCAUCAGUUAGUUCAAUUUUAUUUUGUUGUAGCACUAUAAAUUCGAGAAUUGCAACUUUUAGUGUUUGUUUUGAAGUUUUACUUAACUUCACAUUAUUUUCCUCAACUAAAUGGAAUAAAUUUUGGUCAGUGAUUGAAUGAGUGUAAUAUUUAUUAUUUAAGGAUUGAUCUUGGUUAUAUAGUCUUGUAAUGUAUAAACAAAUAUUUACGAAAUGUAUGUGGUAGAGUUAUUGGGAUUCGGAUGGAGCGAUAAACCAUUUAUCAAGGAUGAUGCAAUGGUAUUAGAAAGGGUUGAAUGCAUUCUUAGAUCACGCCUACAUCCAAGUAAUUUCAGGUGGCAGAUGAUCAGAAGCCUGGGAGGAUGAGCAUAAUAACCACAGGCCGAUGAGAUGGAGCUGGUCUUAUAUGUUGGUGGCGACAUAGAGAGAUUAAACCCCGAGGAAGAACAAUGGGAAUUAGUUAAAGAGCUUAGAGUUCCAAAAAUACAAUCCUGAUUCUCAAGGCUCUCUAAAUUUCUUGUACAGAUAUCAACACCAGACUUGCAGUUGCAGGAACAUUGUAAGAAAAACAAGAAGAUCGGAUACAUGGACCCGGAGUAUAUUAUACGAGGAACAUCCACUAACAAAAUGAUGUAUACAACUUCGGAGUGGUGGCCCUAGAGCUUAUGACUGGAAACAACAGAUUGCAGUGGAAAAUGAAGCUUGAAGCUACUUAUAGAUUCGCUGAUGCUCAAGGCUCUCUAAUUUCAUUAAAUUUAUGUUAGGCGGAAAAGAAUUUUAAUUGAUAAAUCUGAAGGGGCAACAACCAAGUAUUAUUGGGGGUGAAAUUCAGGAAAAUACCUUUAAAGCUGCUGUGAGGUCUAGUGGUGGCAGUAGAAAAUCCUAGGAUGCACCUCUUGACUAUAGAGUAAAUGAAGCAAGUACAGAUGGAGAACUCGUGCAAACUUAAUAUUCGUUAAAGUAAAUUUACCCACGUAAUCUUGAUUAAAGUAAAUUCACCCCUAAAGUUGUUCCUUUUCUAGUACCUCUUGUCAAUCAUGAUUUUGUUUCGUUUCAAUAUCAAGAAUUGGCGAUUGUAUAAUUUGACUUAGUAGCUUAUUUGUGUUUUAAAUCGUUAUGUAUUUUAUUUUCAUUAAUAAAUGAAUGAAAGCUUUUAAUA